CCGAAGUCUAAGACUUUUUGCCCCUGGAGGUUACCCAGGAUCCUUCCGUGGGCGAAAAUCUCAGAGCGGCGCCAGCCCCAAGUUCAGCCUCAGCCCAAGUCUUAACUUCAGCUCCAGCCUCAGUCCUAGCCCCAGCCCUGGCUUCAUCCCCCAGCUCAGCACCAACCUCAGCCACCACCUCAACCUCAUCCCCCACCUCAGCCCCAGCCCCAGCUCCAACCUCAGCUCCAACUUCAACCCCAGCCCCAGCCCCAAGUCCA
rnacentral:lncRNA from 1 species